GGCGAACGCUGGCGGCGUGCUUAACACAUGCAAGUCGAACGGAAAGGCCCUGCUUUUGUGGGGUGCUCGAGUGGCGAACGGGUGAGUAACACGUGAGUAACCUGCCCUUGACUUUGGGAUAACUUCAGGAAACUGGGGCUAAUACCGGAUAGGAGCUCCUGCUGCAUGGUGGGGGUUGGAAAGUUUCGGCGGUUGGGGAUGGACUCGCGGCUUAUCAGCUUGUUGGUGGGGUAGUGGCUUACCAAGGCUUUGACGGGUAGCCGGCCUGAGAGGGUGACCGGCCACAUUGGGACUGAGAUACGGCCCAGACUCCUACGGGAGGCAGCAGUGGGGAAUAUUGCACAAUGGGCGGAAGCCUGAUGUAGCAACGCCGCGUGCGGGAUGACGGCCUUCGGGUUGUAAACCGCUUUCGCCUGUGACGAAGCGUGAGUGACGGUAAUGGGUAAAGAAGCACCGGCUAACUACGUG
rnacentral:rRNA from 1 species